UACGAAGGGGGGCUAGCGUUGUUCGGAUUUACUGGGCGUAAAGCGCACGUAGGCGGAUCGUUAAGUCGGGGGUGAAAUCCUGGAGCUCAACUCCAGAACUGCCUUCGAUACUGGCGAUCUUGAGUCCGGAAGAGGUGAGUGGAACUCCUAGUGUAGAGGUGGAAUUCGUAGAUAUUUAGGAAGAACACCAGUGGCGAAGGCGGCUCACUGGUCCGGGUACUGACGCUGAGGUGCGAAAGCGUGGGGAGCAAACAGG
rnacentral:rRNA from 1 species